GCCCUACGGGAGGCAGCAGUGAGGGAUAUUGGGCAAUGGGGGAAACCCUGACCCAGCGACGCCGCGUGAGGGAAGACGGUCUUCGGAUUGUAAACCUCUGUCUUUGGGGACGAAAAAGGACGGUACCCAAGGAGGAAGCUCCGGCUAACUACGUGCCAGCAGCCGCGGUAAUACGUAGGGAGCGAGCGUUGUCCGGAAUUACUGGGUGUAAGGGGCGCGUAGGCGGGAUGGCAAGUCAGAUGUGAAGUCCGGGGGCUCAACCCCUGAACUGCAUUUGAAACUGUCGUUCUUGAGUACUGGAGAGG
rnacentral:rRNA from 1 species